rnacentral:rRNA from 1 species
AUUGAACGCUGGCGGCAGGCUUAACACAUGCAAGUCGAGCGGAGAUGAGGUGCUUGCACCUUAUCUUAGCGGCGGACGGGUGAGUAAUGCUUAGGAAUCUGCCUAUUAGUGGGGGACAACAUUCCGAAAGGAAUGCUAAUACCGCAUACGUCCUACGGGAGAAAGCAGGGGAUCUUCGGACCUUGCGCUAAUAGAUGAGCCUAGGUCGGAUUAGCUAGUUGGUGGGGUAAAGGCCUACCAAGGCGACGAUCUGUAGCGGGUCUGAGAGGAUGGUCCGCCACGGCGGGACUGAGACACCGCCCAGACUCCUACGGGAGGCAGCAGUGGGGAAUAUUGGACAAUGGGGGGAACCCUGAUCCGGCCAUGCCGCGUGUGUGAAGAAGGCCUUAUGGUUGUGAAGCACUUUAAGCGAGGAGGAGGCUACUGAGACUAAUACUCUUGGAUAGUGGACGUUACCCGCAGAAUAAGCACCGGCUAACUCAGUGCCAGCCGCCGCCGUAACAC